UCGGGAUAGCUCAGUUGGUAGAGCAGAGGACUGAAAAUCUCUU
rnacentral:tRNA from 1 species